CUGGCACGGCCCGCCCCGCUGCGGGAUCCCGGGACACCGGUGACAUUCCCACAUGCCGGGAUGUUGGGACCCGCCAGGGAAGGCACCGGGGCCAGGGGGGCCUGUGGUCCGCGAUGUGCGCAAGGAAACGCCUGGCGUUUCUGCAGAAAUCCUCACAUGCCAGCCUUGAGCCCGCUCCUGUUCCCGCCGCGGAAUCCCCCCGCGCUGCUGUAACACCGGCUCUUUCUCCUUGAACCAAAGCCCCAAAUCGGGGACGUGUGUCUUUCCCCGCUUAAAACCCAUCUGCCACCUUCCUGCCUUUUCCCGCAGAGGGUCUGCACCCGCUCCUCCUCCCCGGAUACUCAGCCGUGUGGACCCCCGAGCCUGCGGCAUAAACUGUGGUAUUUAUGCCAGGCCAGCCGGGCUCCGAGCCCUCAGGCCACCCUGUGCAUCUGUCACCCGCCCCUAAUCCUGCCCAAGCCUCCCAGCCCGGCUCCAGGCAGCCACAGCUCCGGCAUCUGCCUCUCGGCACAGGCAUGCCCCGCACCCUCACGGCAGAGACCAGCAGAGAUGGGGCCAAAAUCACCCGCUGCCUUUCAGCCCUCUUGCGGGAACACACGCUGCACAUCAGCCUGGACAUGGUGGUGUGUGGAUCACGGCACAGUCAUCAGAAUGUGCCCAGCUGAGAGGAGAUGAUGCAGCCAGGCUGCAUCCCUGAUCCAGAGCAAACCCAAGCUGAAGGAGACAGGAACAGGAGAGUGGCUAAAACUGGAUAGUGAAGAAGAUUAUUGCAGAUAAAAUGAUGGAAAAACAGGAAAGAAUUUGGCUGAACUGCAUGUGUGUGGUCAACGCUUGGACUCCAUGACAUGUGUCUUUUCCGACCUUAAUGAUUCUCUGAAAGACUGAAAAACAAGAUCAAGAGGUAAAGAACAACACGGAGGAAGAGGAAGAUGGGCAUUUUUAGCCUUUCACAGAAUCACAGAAGUUUAUUCCUAGUCAGAACUCAAGCUCUUAGUUAAAAGCUCUUCCAUCUGCCUGUAGCCAAGCUGUAAGUGAGGACAUCCAAAAGAAAAGAUAGGGAUUGUUUCUGGAAGAGGAAAAGAGCAGUUGCUUGUUGGGUACCAAGAAAAAUCAUGGCACACCAUUCAAUCCCGCAGUUAAAAUAGACACAUCACACCAAAUCUGGAAGAGCUGUUUGAUUUUGAGUAUUUUGAAUGGAAAAAAAGGAAAGGAGACCUAUGUGAGCACUCAUCUCUGUUCCAGUAUUGUCUGGGUUUGUGUGCUAGUGCUGGAUCCUGCUAAAACUUACCUGAAGGCGGAGUGCUCAGGUACACUUUGAAUCCCUGAGACCAGCCAAGCUCCAAGCUCUCAGGGACUCAGCACUCACAGCCACACUCACCUAGACAGUUUUUGAGUGAGAGUUAGAAUUGUAUAUUAAAUAUGCAGAAAACCAUCAGUGCAGAGUUAUCAUAGUAAAGGCUGGUGGAGAAAAACAAUAGCAACCUCCAGAAAUGUGGGCCUGCCCCUAAACCUACCACUUCCCCUGGGGAAAAAUAAAAAGCUUGAAGAAAACUUCCCA
rnacentral:lncRNA from 1 species